AUUGAACGCUGGCGGCGUGCUUAACACAUGCAAGUCGAGCGGUAACAGGUGUAGCAAUACAUGCUGACGAGCGGCGAACGGGUGAGUAAUGCUUCGGAAUCUUCCUCGUAGUGGGGAACAACCUGGGGAAACUCAGGCUAAUACCGCAUACGAACUACGGUUGAAAGCAGGGGAUCGCAAGACCUUGCGCUAUGAGAUGAGCCGAAGUCGGAUUAGCUAGUUGGUGAGGUAAAGGCUCACCAAGGCGACGAUCCGUAGCUGGUCUGAGAGGACGACCAGCCACACUGGGACUGAGACACGGCCCAGACUCCUACGGGAGGCAGCAGUGGGGAAUAUUGGACAAUGGGCGCAAGCCUGAUCCAGCGACGCCGCGUGUGUGAAGAAGGCCUGCGGGUUGUAAAGCACUUUCGGCCGGGAAGAAAUACGCCUUGGUUAAUACCUGAGGUGGAUGACGGUACCGGAAGAAGAAG
rnacentral:rRNA from 1 species